AAUAAAUUUUUAUGAUUUAUAAAUUUUAUUUUAACUUUAAUUUACAUAUAAAUUUUAGUAUGAAUUUUGCUUUUUUUAAAAAAUAAGUAUUUAAUUGUAGUAAUUAAAAUUAAAAAUUUAAGAAAUUAAGAUUUAGUAAUAUAAAAAUAAAUAACAAAUUUUGUGCCAGCAGUUGCGGUUAUACAAAAAUUUAUUUAAAAUUUUUCAGUAAUAAUAAAUAAUAUAAAAUAUUAAUAAAAAUAUAAUUAUUAGGUAAAAUUUUAAUUUUAUAAAAUUAAUAAAUAAUUUAUGAUUUAAUAAAAUUUUAUAAUAAACUAGGAUUAGAUACCCUAUUAUAAAUAAAUUAAUUAAUAAUACUAAAAUAGUAAAUAAUGAUUUAUUGAAACUUAAAUAAUUUGGCGGUAUUUUAGUUCAUUUAGAGGAAUCUGUCUUGUAAUUGAUAAUCCACGAAUAAAUUUACUUAAUUAAUAAUUUUAUAUAUCGUUGUUAAAAAAAUAUUUUAAAAUAAUAAUAAUAUUUAAAAAUUAUAAUUAAAAAUUAAUUCAGAUCAAGAUGUAGAUAAUAAUUAAGAUAUGAUGGAUUACAAUAAUAAUAAAUAUAUGAAUAUUAAUUUUGAAAUAAUUAAUUGAAAGUGGAUUUAAAUGUAAUUUUAUUUAAUUUAAUAAAAUGAUUUUAAAAUUAAAUUAUGUACAUAUUGCCCGUCACUUUCAUUUAAAAAUUGGAAUAAGUCGUAACAAAGUAGAGGUACUGGAAAGUGUUUCUAGAAAGAA
rnacentral:ncRNA from 1 species